ACCGUGAGCUGUUCUGUAAUAGCGUGACUUUAUGAUUAAUCAAGACAUUUUUUUUUUUGCUGACUCCAGAGCUGGGAAGAACAGACACUUCAAAAUGGGUGUCGUGUCCGUGUCCAACAUGUAUCAAGCACCGGCACACCAUGGACAAGCGUGUCCACGUGUCGAACAUGGCAUGUGUUGUGUCAAUUAUUUUAAUUAUUAAUGUUUUUUUGCAGGACACGUUAAGCAAACUUCACGGACCUCCAUGUGUGCCAAUUUUUUUAAUUAUUAUUUUUUUGCAGGACACAUUAGGAGCACUUCAGAGAUCUUCAUGUCCUAUGUUUGGACACACCUUAUGACACCUUUAUGGGUUUGUUUUAUAUAGAAAGUUGAUUUGGGUUCAAAGUAAAAUAUAUAGAAGUAUGAUGUUCUCUGAUAAUGUUACGAGAUACAUACUUUUGUUGAGGAAAAAAGAAAGAAAAUAAAAAAGAAACUGUUUGUUUUGAUGGUGGCCUCUUCAAAAUGAUUUAGUUGAAUAUUCUACUUUGAGUAUGGGUACAAAAAGUGUUUUCCUAUUUUCUGAAUUAUAAUGCAGGUAUACGUACAAGAUAGGGCAUAUGUUGUUAAAUGGUACAUAUAUAUGGACUCAGAUGUACCAGUUCAGGGCAUCACCUUAUUCACCAAGAGGGAGGGAAAUUUGCUACCCUUCAAAUUUCAUUCCUAUUAAUUUGUCCCAGUGUCCUUUGAAGUUAUUUUUGACAAAAUACUUGAUUCCCAUAUUUUGUAGUCUUGAUAUUGAAUAUUUUUUACUUUUAAGUGCUUGUUCUAUAUAGGUACAUGAUUUCGGUUUCUGUUUGAUUUUGCAGAGUGAGGUCAAAUGAUAUGUUUUGUGAUGACAUUUUUGGAGAGUCACCUGCUGGAGUUCGUAAAACAGUAGUGUUGAGGGAGUAGUUGAUAUGAUUGAGUGGGUGAUAUUGAGAGUUAAAUUCAGUUUUUUUUUUUUUAGUACUUGAAUCUAUUAGUAUUUUGUAUAAAUACUUUUAAGGAUGGUUGAUGGAUAUUUGUUUUGUGUGUAUAGAAGUUUAUAUUUUGUAUGCACAUUUUUUUUUUUUUUUAAGAAAGAUAAUUUUGUUGAGGGAAGUGAUGGAAAAUAAUACAUGUGUAUUAGAAUUUUUGCAAAUAUCACUUUAUAUUUAUUGUA